rnacentral:rRNA from 1 species
ACGGUCUCCAUUACAGUCAGGAAAUGGAUCGCUGGUUGACUCCGCCUGAGUUAACGACACCUUGCGUCUGCGGGAACAAGCGCCGAGAACAAUUGAGGCGAAUAACCUGCAGCCAUCUUGAAUCCGCGGCGGAGUCGAGUUGGCUCACAGACUAAGACAAGGCGGACAUCGUCUCCUGAGAGUCGGUGGUUCAGAUAUAGUCGCGACACUAAAGAUUCAUAAUUUAGUGGUUCGUACUCGCUUUUCGAAGAGAGUAUGCUAUCGGUUCCGUAGGUGAACCUGCGGAAGGAUCAUUA